GUUCAACAAUUGUUAAAAGAAUAUGGUUUUAAAACCAAAAGAUUGAAGGACAUGAAAUACACUUGUCACUUUGUCAGUUAUAGCAUGUGCCUUGGAAUCUUGACAUCACAAUGGCCUGCCACCCUGACUACCAAAGAAUCUUCAGACUUCAGUGGUUGGUUUACCAACUGCAGUGUUCAGUUUGUUAUUUAAUGCCUAGGAGGAAAGCGAUAAUUUCAAGGACAUUGAUUGGUUCUAGAUUGCAGGCUCCACUGUGAAGGUGGAGACCCGUACCAGGAGAAUCUUAUUUUUUUUAUACGGAAACAACUUGUCAACAUGGGAGAAAUUCAUAGAACCUUGCUGUGCCAAGGCCCGGUGGAAAUCAUGAGCUACAACAAAAGGAAGAAAAGAUAUCUAUCCUUAUUUAAUGAUGUUUUGGUUGUGUCUAGUAACCUGAAAAAGAAGAAGUUUAAGAUAAAAUGUAUUUUGCCACUGAACAACCUCUGGGCUAUUGAUGAUGUGAUCUUUUUCAGAAGAAAGGAAAACUGUAGUUCCAAGACCCUUUUCUUCCUCCCAUGGCACUCUGGAAAUUUUUUUGCCAC